rnacentral:misc_RNA from 1 species
CUUAUGUGUGAGGAUUACUAGUUGGAAGGGCAAAAUUAUUAUAAUGUUGGACCUUGCUAAAUUCCAAUUGCUGGUUACGAAAAAUUUCGUUGAUAUCCUCGGUGUUAGGGUUUAUUUUGUCUCAAUCUCUCACCCCUUAGACCAUGUCCCUUAUUUAACUCUUUUCUCCAUUUUCAUUCAACAUCUCACCUCUAUCACCUAUCUUAAAUGUUACCUCUACCAUGGCUGCUGAGCUUAGCCUUCUCCCCUUGACCCAAUCCACCACCAAAAACUAGCUCAAACCCAACAAAAUCAACAACAAAACGCUUCUUCAUCAUCAAUUUCCUUGAUGUGGAACCCUAACCAAACUCAAGAAGAUGACUCAUGGGAGGUCAGAGCCUUUGAAGAGGACACAGGUAAUGUAAUGGGCACCACUUGGCCUCCGCGCUCUUAUACUUGCACCUUUUGCAGAAAGGAAUUCCGGUCAGCUCAAGCCCUAGGUGGUCAUAUGAAUGUGCACCGCCGUGACCGUGCUAGGCUCCACCAGACAGUAUUACAACCUUCACCUGGUUCAAUCAACCCCCCUAGCUCAUCGACUUCCACUUCUUCUUCCUCUAGUAUCUUAAUCCCAGCUCAAGAAUUUUCCACUACUGGUGGUAGGUUAUGCCUGCUCUACAAAUUACCUAACCCUAAUGGGGUUUUCUAUCCCACAGCUAUGAAUGCAUGUGCUACUGACUCUCCUACUCUUCUCUCCAUCUCACCAUAUCCCCAUAGUAACUUGAUUGGGCAAUCUCUUAACUGUCCAGUAGCUUCCCCAGUGAUAAAUUCUUCUCAUUUUUACUCAAGCAAACCCAAACCUGCUUCCUCUUUUGACAAAUGCAAGGAAUUGGGAAACGAAGAACUUGAUCUAGAGUUGAGGCUCGGACACAGUUUGACAAAAUCAUCUUCAUCAUCAUCGACAUCAUAAUUCGAUAACCAGAAAAGCUUAAUUAGAGUGGGAGUAUGAUUUGUUUGCAACUGAUGUUAGUGUGGAAGAUAAAGUCUAUUUUGAUGGACUUGUGUGCGAGAUUUUUUUUGUUUUUUCAAUCAAUGAUGAGUAUGAGAGUGCCUCUGUGUGUGAGAGAGAUCAGACAGAUAAAUUUUAGGUGCCAUGGAAAGUGAAGAGGAAGAAAAGAUGAGCACCAUGUAAAUUCAAAAGAGGAAAAAAAAAAUGAAUGAUUUAAUUCUUUUUGAAGAAUAAAAGAAACAAGAUUAGUAA